GGGGGGGGGGUUGCUAACGUGUGAUUGGCCGUCCCUGCUGUCACCCCAUGAGCGCCGGGAAUCAGAGCCUUGAAUGACCACCAGUGUUGUUACCAGGACAGGAGUUUGUGUUCAUCUGCCACUAGCUCCUUUGAACAGAGCUAAGCAGGGGUACUGAAGCAGAGAGAUGACUGCUGACAAAGACAUGGUGAGACCAUACAGCUUCCCAAAGUGACAAAUUGGAAAGCUGAGGAAAAGAGACUCAUUGACAACUGGAUGAAGGAGCGAUUAAUGACUUCCAGAGCAAAGGUUAAGAACUGCACGGGCAGAGAAGGAACUGAGGCGCACACGGAGAAGAGCAGACACUGCAGGGAGGUCAGGAACAGCGACAGAAUGGAGGAGCGCAGGUCAGCCUCCUGCUCUGUUGCUCCUACACGAUGACAAGUCGUUAGGGAGCCCUGGGACUCUGAGAAGGCGCUUCCAGUAGAGAGCGGCCGUUGUUGUCCUCCCUGCGGCUGGUAAUGUACACUGACAGACUUACAGCAAAUUAACAAUUCAAGAAACCCAAAA